GAGCCUACCAUGCAGUUGAGGGGCAGCAUGAAUAAUAGCAAUAUUAUUUGAUGGCGACCAGCGCACGGGUGCGUAACACGUAUGCAAUCUGCCUCGUACUUGGGUAUAACUCCGAGAAAUCGGUGCUAAUCCCCAAUGACACUAUGAAGUGGCAUCACUUUAUAGUUAAAGCUCCGGCGGUACGAGAUGAGCAUGCGCCCAAUUAGCUAGUUGGUGAGGUAACGGCUCACCAAGGCUACGAUUGGUAGGGGUUCUGAGAGGAUGAUCCCCCACACUGGUACUGAGACACGGACCAGACUCCUACGGGAGGCAGCAGUGAGGAAUAUUGCGCAAUGGACGAAAGUCUGACGCAGCCAUGCCGCGUGAAGGAUGAAGGCCCUAUGGGUUGUAAACUUCUUUUGUACGGGAAAAAACGCUCCUACGUGUAGGAGCCUGAUGGUACCGUAAGAAUAAGCACCGGCUAACUCCGUGCCAGCAGCCGCGGUAAUACGGAGGGUGCAAGCGUUAUCCGGAUUUAUUGGGUUUAAAGGGUCCGUAGGCGGGCCGAUAAGUCAGUGGUGAAAGCCCAUAGCUCAACUAUGGAACUGCCAUUGAUACUGUCGGUCUUGAGUACAAGUGAGGUUGGCGGAAUGUGUGGUGUAGCGGUGAAAUGCUUAGAUAUCACACAGAACACCGAUUGCGAA
rnacentral:rRNA from 1 species